GUUUCUCAUUUUUCUUCCGUUUUUUCUCCUUUUUUUCCUUCUUCAUGAGAGUGGGAAAGACAGCAAAGAAGA
rnacentral:ribozyme from 11 species